AAUAAAGACAUGGAAUACAUUGAAGCGUGUUUCACAUCGAUUCAUUCACAGUGACUGGAAAGCACAGAGGCUCUCAAACUUGAUCUUCUCAACAAUCAGCAUAUGUCCUCAUUUAAUGGCCCGCCUUCGAAUCAAGGACAUCGUCAUGAGGUUCGACAUUAAGAUCUAUAAACACAUUCCUCAAAUAGACCAUUAAAAGUUGCCUCCUUUUUUUUCAACCCACUAGUGGGGAAAAAAAUGGUAAGAACUGUGGUCAUUUCAUUUGAGCCCAAAACAGCAGCGCCAAUUGUUCUUGUGUGGUCGUUUAUU